ensembl:lncRNA
GUAAGCCAAGUAUUUCCUUCUAUUUUGUAGAAGGAAGUAGAGCUAAAGCAGCUGAGGCGAAUUAUUUGACUACAUUUAAACGUACAUUGCAUACAUGUAUUUGGAUUUUGGCAGGUUUCAUGAUUCAUAAGGUUUUUUUUAUUCCCCUGCAGAUUAGUAGCGUGAGUUCUCAAAUUUAUUCAGUAAGCUGUAAAGGAAACUCUACUUUGGCAGCCGAGCACUUCAUGUUAUCUGUGGACCAGGCAAUUGCGAAUGGCCAUAUCACUAUCUUCAGCGACGCACUUAUCCUGAUUUGUGGCUCUUAAUACUGCACGAACAUUUCUUAUCCAGUAGCCCAGGCAGCAACCUUGGAAUUCUUGCAACGAUGCCUUAAGAUUAACCCCGACAAGGGAUCCAAAGUGGAGUGGAACACGUCUAAGAAAAACCUUGCAGUCAAUCCAAAGGUUCUGACGUUGAUCACCAAAAUUGCGGACUAUGAGUGGAGAGCAUAAAAAGUUCUCAUUUUUAUCCUGAGGAUAACCUUAUCUGUUGUUCACUAGCACUGGUCUCUGGUUCAUGGUCAAUGUCAACAGCACGGGUGGCCCGCUUUAUAGGGGAAAAGUGAAAUAUAGGCUG